GGUUAAGCGACUAAGCGUACACGGUGGAUGCCCUGGCAGUCAGAGGCGAUGAAGGACGUGCUAAUCUGCGAAAAGCGUCGGUAAGGUGAUAUGAACCGUUAUAGCCGGCGAUGUCCGAAUGGGGAAACCCAGUGCAAUUCGUUGCACUAUCGUUAACUGAAUACAUAGGUUAACGAGGCGAACCGGGGGAACUGAAACAUCUAAGUACCCCGAGGAAAAGAAAUCAACCGAGAUUCCCCCAGUAGCGGCGAGCGAACGGGGAGCAGCCCAGAGUCUGAAUCAGCUUGUGUGUUAGUGGAACGGUCUGGAAAGUCCGACGGUACAGGGUGAUAGUCCCGUACACCAAAAUGCACAGGCUGUGAACUCGAAGAGUAGGGCGGGACACGUGGUAUCCUGUCUGAAUAUGGGGGGACCAUCCUCCAAGGCUAAAUACUCCUGACUGACCGAUAGUGAACCAGUACCGUGAGGGAAAGGCGAAAAGAACCCCGGCGAGGGGAGUGAAAAAGAACCUGAAACCGUGUACGUACAAGCAGUGGGAGCACCUUCGGGUGUGACUGCGUACCUUUUGUAUAAUGGGUCAGCGACUUAUAUUCUGUAGCAAGGUUAACCGUAUAGGGGAGCCGCAGGGAAACCGAGUCUUAACUGGGCGUUAAGUUGCAGGGUAUAGACCCGAAACCCGGUGAUCUAGCCAUGGGCAGGUUGAAGGUUGGGUAACACUAACUGGAGGACCGAACCGACUAAUGUUGAAAAAUUAGCGGAUGACUUGUGGCUGGGGGUGAAAGGCCAAUCAAACCGGGAGAUAGCUGGUUCUCCCCGAAAGCUAUUUAGGUAGCGCCUCGUGAACUCAUCUUCGGGGGUAGAGCACUGUUUCGGCUAGGGGGUCAUCCCGACUUACCAACCCGAUGCAAACUACGAAUACCGAAGAAUGUUAUCACGGGAGACACACGGCGGGUGCUAACGUCCGUCGUGAAGAGGGAAACAACCCAGACCGCCAGCUAAGGUCCCAAAGUCAUGGUUAAGUGGGAAACGAUGUGGGAAGGCACAGACAGCCAGGAUGUUGGCUUAGAAGCAGCCAUCAUUUAAAGAAAGCGUAAUAGCUCACUGGUCGAGUCGGCCUGCGCGGAAGAUGUAACGGGGCUAAACCAUGCACCGAAGCUGCGGCAGCGACACUAUGUGUUGUUGGGUAGGGGAGCGUUCUGUAAGCCUGCGAAGGUGUGCUGUGAGGCAUGCUGGAGGUAUCAGAAGUGCGAAUGCUGACAUAAGUAACGAUAAAGCGGGUGAAAAGCCCGCUCGCCGGAAGACCAAGGGUUCCUGUCCAACGUUAAUCGGGGCAGGGUGAGUCGACCCCUAAGGCGAGGCCGAAAGGCGUAGUCGAUGGGAAACAGGUUAAUAUUCCUGUACUUGGUGUUACUGCGAAGGGGGGACGGAGAAGGCUAUGUUAGCCGGGCGACGGUUGUCCCGGUUUAAGCAUGUAGGCUGGUUAUCCAGGCAAAUCCGGAUAAUCAAGGCUGAGGUGUGAUGACGAGGCACUACGGUGCUGAAGUAACAAAUGCCCUGCUUCCAGGAAAAGCCUCUAAGCAUCAGGUAACAU
rnacentral:rRNA from 1 species